GAUGAACGCUGGCGGCGUGCCUAAAACAUGCAAGUCGAGCGGUAAGGCCCCUUCGGGGGUACACGAGCGGCGGACGGGUGAGUAACACGUGGGAAUCUACCCCAAACUGAGGGAUAAGCACCGGAAACGGUGUCUAAUACCGCAUAUGGUCUUCGGAUUAAAGCUUCGGCGGUUUGGGAAGAGCCCGCGUAAGAUUAGCUAGUUGGUGAGGUAAAGGCUUACCAAGGCGACGAUCUUUAGCUGGUUUGAGAGGAUGAUCAGCCACACUGGAACUGAGACACGGUCCAGACUCCUACGGGAGGCAGCAGUUAGGAAUUUUCCACAAUGGGCGAAAGCCUGAUGGAGCAGCGCCGCGUGCAGGAUGAAGGUUUUCGGAUUGUAAACUGCUUUUAUGUGCGAAGAAUAUGACGGUAACACAUGAAUAAGGAUCGGCUAACUCCGUGCCAGCAGCCGCGGUAA
rnacentral:rRNA from 1 species